rnacentral:tRNA from 1 species
ACAUCGGUAGCACAGUGGUUAGUGCAGUCUGCCGGAAAUAAAAAGACGCGGGUUCAAUUCCCGUCCGAUGUC